UUUUCAGAAUGAAGGAACUUGUUAUCCUUGCUGCUUUUUGUCUGAGCGUUGUUUGUGCCGGACCAUGGUUAGAUGGACAUUAUAACAACCAUCAACUAUACGGUUCAUACGACUUUGGCAGUCCAUACCAAUAUCGUAAUUAUAACCCAUUCCAAUACCAAUACUAUGGUUACCCAUACGACAACUACCAACUCACACUCAACCCAUAUGACAAUGAUUACGAUUAUAGGAGACCACUCUUUACCAGAUCUUUUAACUGAAAUCAAAGGAUUUUCAACACGAAUAAACUAAUGAUUAAAAAGGAUGUGAAUUUGUAGCUUGAAAUAAUCUAAUAAAUUUUUAUUCAGAU